rnacentral:sRNA from 1 species
GAAAAUAAAUAGCAAUUUCGACUAAAUAAAGUACACAAAUCGCCGCCACUUCAACCGCGUGACUGUUUUUCCGUCGUUGAUUUUUUUCCCCCGGAAUAAAAAAUAUAAUAAACUAAAUAAAUAAAUACAAAG